CUACGGGUUGCUCCAGUGAGGAAUAUUGCACAAUGGGGGAAACCCUGAUGCAGCAACGCCGCGUGGAGGAUGACGCAUUUCGGUGUGUAAACUCCUUUUAUAUGUCAAGAAAAUGACGGUAGCAUAUGAAUAAGCACCGGCUAACUCCGUGCCAGCAGCCGCGGUAAUACAGGAGGGUGCAAGCGUUACUCGGAAUCACUGGGCGUAAAGGACGCGUAGGCGGGUUGGUAAGUCAGGUGUGAAAUCCUACAGCUUAACUGUAGAACUGCACUUGAAACUACCAACCUAGAGUAUGGGAGGGGGAGAUGGAAUUAGUGGUGUAGGGGUAAAAUCCGUAGAUAUCACUAGGAAUACCUAAAGCGAAGGCGAUCUCCUGGAACAUUACUGACGCUAAGGCGUGAAAGCGUGGGGAGCAAACAGGAUUAGAUACCCGUGUAGUC
rnacentral:rRNA from 1 species